rnacentral:rRNA from 1 species
AGAGGGGUGCGAGCGUUAAUCGGAAUUACUGGGCGUAAAGGGCGCGUAGGUGGGUUUGUUAAGUUAGAUGUGAAAUGUGCGGGCUUAACCUGCAUUUGUCAUCUAAUACUGGCAGACUAGAGUACAGUAGAGGGUAGCGGAAUUUCCGGUGUAGCAGUGAAAUGCGUAGAUAUCGGAAGGAACACCAGUGGCGAAGGCGGCUACCUGGACUGAUACUGACACUGAGGCGCGAAAGCGUGGGUAGCGAACGGGAUUAGAUACCCCGGUAGUCCACGCCGUAAACGAUGACAACUAACCGUUGGGCUCUUAUAUGGGUUUAGUGGUGAAGCAAACGCGACAAGUUGUCCGCCUGGGGAGUACGACCGCAAGGUUA